AGCUUGCUCUUAUGAAGUUAGCGGCGGACGGGUGAGUAACACGUGGGUAACCUGCCCAUAAGACUGGGAUAACUCCGGGAAACCGGGGCUAAUACCGGAUAACAUUUUGAACCGCAUGGUUCGAAAUUGAAAGGCGGCUUCGGCUGUCACUUAUGGAUGGACCCGCGUCGCAUUAGCUAGUUGGUGAGGUAACGGCUCACCAAGGCAACGAUGCGUAGCCGACCUGAGAGGGUGAUCGGCCACACUGGGACUGAGACACGGCCCAGACUCCUACGGGAGGCAGCAGUAGGGAAUCUUCCGCAAUGGACGAAAGUCUGACGGAGCAACGCCGCGUGAGUGAUGAAGGCUUUCGGGUCGUAAAACUCUGUUGUUAGGGAAGAACAAGUGCUAGUUGAAUAAGCUGGCACCUUGACGGUACCUAACCAGAAAGCCACGGCUAACUACGUGCCAGCAGCCGCGGUAAUACGUAGGUGGCAAGCGUUAUCCGGAAUUAUUGGGCGUAAAGCGCGCGCAGGUGGUUUCUUAAGUCUGAUGUGAAAGCCCACGGCUCAACCGUGGAGGGUCAUUGGAAACUGGGAGACUUGAGUGCAGAAGAGGAAAGUGGAAUUCCAUGUGUAGCGGUGAAAUGCGUAGAGAUAUGGAGGAACACCAGUGGCGAAGCGACUUUCUGGUCUGUAACUGACACUGAGGCGCGAAAGCGUGGGGAGCAAACAGAUAGAUACCC
rnacentral:rRNA from 1 species